rnacentral:rRNA from 1 species
CAGCAGCCGCGGUAAAACGGAGGGUGCAAGCGUUAAUCGGAAUUACUGGGCGUAAAGCGUGCGUAGGCGGUUCGUUAAGUCUGUUGUGAAAGCCCCGGGCUCAACCUGGGAAUGGCAAUGGAUACUGGCGAGCUAGAGUGUGUCAGAGGAUGGUGGAAUUCCCGGUGUAGCGGUGAAAUGCGUAGAGAUCGGGAGGAACAUCAGUGGCGAAGGCGGCCAUCUGGGACAACACUGACGCUGAGGCACGAAAGCGUGGGGAGCGAACAGGAUUAGAUACCCGCGUAGUCCCUGUCUCUUAUAA